CCGUGCGGCUUUGUUUUUAGGGAAGCUGUCAUGGCUGCCCUGUAUAAGUGGCGUCUGACGAUUGGGUCUUACGCAAUGGAUGUCUGUGAACCGUGUCAGGUUGGGAACAAAGCAGCACUAAACAGAAUUUUCCAUGUGCCGUAAGGGUGCCUGGUCUUAGUUAACUGGACAGGUAACGCAUGGCAGUUUCCCUAAGCGCAAGGCACACGG
rnacentral:SRP_RNA from 1 species